rnacentral:rRNA from 1 species
CCUACGGGUGGCAGCAGUGGGGAAUAUUGGGCAAUGGGCGCAAGCCUGACCCAGCAACGCCGCGUGAAGGAAGAAGGCUUUCGGGUUGUAAACUUCUUUUCUGGGGGACGAACAAAUGACGGUACCCCAGGAAUAAGCCACGGCUAACUACGUGCCAGCAGCCGCGGUAAUACGUAGGUGGCAAGCGUUAUCCGGAUUUAUUGGGUGUAAGGGUCGUGUAGGCGGGAAGGCAAGUCAGAUGUGAAAACUCAGGGCUCAACCCUGAGCCUGCAUUUGAAACUGUGUUUCUUGAGUGCUGGAGAGGCAAUCGGAAUUCCGGGGGUAGCGGGGAAAUGCGUAGAUAUACGGAGGAACACCAGUGGCGAAGGCGGAUUGCUGGACAGUAACUGACGCGGAGGCUCGAAGGCGUGGGGAGCAAACAGGAUUAGAUACCCUGGUAGUC